GCAGUACGUAACUGUCCAAUCAGUGACAAAAUAAAACACUGAACAUAAUACUUAGAAGUUGUGGAUAUAGAAUUAUCUGCUUCCCUGAAUUUCAUAUGUGGUUUGACUACGAACAAAUAAUACCUAGUAUUAAAAAUGGUGUCUUUCACCCAGCCCGAGUGACGUAGCACUUUUAGCUCUAUAACUAAGGCAACGCAUUUACCUAUUUUGUAGCACAGCAGGUGUGCCGUUUGUCAAAGUUCCUGUUUGUCCCCGCAAUUUGCGCCCCAUGAAGGAGUUCUUUAAAAAAAGACAACAAGGGCAUGUGAUCUUGGCCAGUUCCAGGCUGCUACGUAGAAUGCACUUGUCUAGAAACCAGUUAAGCUGUGUUUUUGUUCAGUAUAUCGGCAACAGAUGGCUGUCUUGUGUGUUUUCUGUCCUGUUUGUUUCUUAAGGCAUCACCCAUCUCAGGGCUGCUAAAACCGUGGCGGGACCCUGGGGCAGGGGGUGGGGGGAAGCAGGGGCGAGGAGGGUGACCUUCUAAGUGCCGGGCCGCCAUUGUUGCCACAGGUUAGCUGGGACUUUACAGGUGGUUGUAGUUUUAGUGGGUUGGAGUGUAAAGUUUUGACUCAGAAGGCUUGAGACCUAAAGGUCCUCUUAUUUUCAGGUGACAGUACUCUGUCACGAAUCCGCAGCAUCACGCAUACCUGGCUUUGGUGAAAGAGCUUUGCACAUACUGUCCAUUUUACUGUAUCUUUUGACUUCGCUGAAGCAUAGGACUUACCAACCAGUUGGUUCUCUGUGCAUCCUGCUACCGAUGUGUGGCUUCCAAAUGACCUGACGCUAUUUGACUAAUUCCACGUUAUAGUAAGUUUUUACAGCAGUGCUCGUGCCUCAACGGACUCUCAUGGGCCAUAAUUUGGCCACCAGGCAAAGCAGUUGCUAAUUACGCGUUUCUCCAGAUUUCCCAUCACCAACCAAUAGCUCUUGGCCUCGAGAAAACAUCAGUGACUUCACAGGAUUAUCUAGUUGUUGACCGACAGCAACCGAUGUUCACGUUUAGUAUUUUCACCGACAGGGUUUGUUCUGUCACUUUUGUGUUUGUUCUAACGAUACGAGGCAACUCACCAACUACAUAAAUCAGUCUCCCCAGAUUCCUCACACCCCUACCCUUGGUCCCUUUCUCUUUCUCAAAUUUGAACUAAGAGCACAGUGCUCACAAUCAGGUGGUGAUGGACAGAGGAGAUUGGGGACAAGGGCACUAUUAGCAAUGGCCUAAUGUGUAAGCACAGGGAGAGAAAACUGGAAGGAGCCAGAGAUCGAGAAUCUGAAACUGGAGCAAAUAAGACUGACCUCAAUCGAUGGCCGCUUUUACGUUCUCAAAUGAUACAAAAAUGAUUGAUUUCCUUUGGCGAAAGUUAUUCCAGUUAGCUUGAGUAGAUUUUUGUUUCUUGCAACUGAAAGAACCUUAAUCAGAAGAGUUGGUAGCUUGAGUCUGUUCAAAGUGAUUAUGUUUUUAGUACUUAUUUAUUUUGAGACAGAGGGAAAGAGAGAGAAUGCCAACAGACUUCAUAACUGUCGGCAUAGAUCUCGACACGGGGCUCAAACUCCUGAAUCAUGAGAUCGUGACCUGAGCCAAAAUCAAGAGUCAGAUGCCCAACUGACUGAGCCACCCAGACAUCCCUGUUAAAACGUAUUUUUAAAUGCAUUUAGCACAUAAAAAUUUGUCCCUUUCAGUAA